UACGUAGGGUGCAAGCGUUGUCCGGAAUUAUUGGGCGUAAAGAGCUCGUAGGCGGUUUGUCGCGUCGAAUGUGAAAACCCGGGGCUCAACCCCGGGCCUGCAUUCGAUACGGGCAGACUAGAGUUCGGUAGGGGAGUCUGGAAUUCCUUGUGUAGCGGUGAAAUGCGCAGAUAUCAGGAGGAACACCGGUGGCGAAGGCGGGACUCUGGGCCGAUACUGACGCUGAGGAGCGAAAGCGUGGGGAGCAAACAGG
rnacentral:rRNA from 1 species